rnacentral:rRNA from 1 species
UACGGGGGGAGCAAGCGCUGUCCGGAUUUACUGGGCGUAAAGAGCGCGCAGGCGGUCGUUCAAGUCGAGUGUGAAAGCCCCCGGCUCAACUGGGGAGGGUCACUCGAUACUGAUCGACUCGAAGGCAGGAGAGGGAAGCGGAAUUCCCGGUGUAGUGGUGAAAUGCGUAGAUAUCGGGAGGAACACCAGUGGCGAAGGCGGCUUUCUGGCCUGUUCUUGACGCUGAGGCGCGAAAGCUAGGGUAGCAAACGGG